CAAAACUGUCUGAACUACGUGUGACUUGAUUCCGAAAGGAUACGUAGUCAACCUCUUUCUGGGGUUCAGUCACACCAAACAAAAUUCCAAUUCCCCAAAAGUGAAACUGGGGCAGAUGAUAGAAUGGCUCAGCCAUGAGCCCACCAAAAUGGUUCCAAAGUUGUAAUUCAGUCCAAAAUGCUUUUUACCCAAAAACCUUGACCAAGUCCUUCCGAUCAAUUGG
rnacentral:lncRNA from 1 species